rnacentral:rRNA from 1 species
AACGUAGGUGGCAAGCGUUAUCCGGAGUUACUGGGCGUAAAGGGUGUGCAGGCGGGUUGGUAAGUGGGGUAUGAAAUCUCCCAGCUUAACUGGGAUAGGUUAUGCCAGACUGCCAAUCUAGAGGACGAGAGAGGGGGGUGGAAUUCCGGGUGUAGUGGUGAAAUGCGUAGAGAUCCGGAGGAACCCCAGAGGCGAAGGCGGCCCCCUGGCUCGUACCUGACGCUCAGCCACGAAAGCAUGGGGAGCGAACGGG